AUUGAACGCUGGCGGCAGGCCUAACACAUGCAAGUCGAACGGUAACAGGCCGCAAGGUGCUGACGAGUGGCGAACGGGUGAGUAAUGCAUCGGAACGUGCCCAGUCGUGGGGGAUAACGCCGCGCAAGCUGCGCUAAUACCGCAUACGAUCUAUGGAUGAAAGCGGGGGACCGUACGGCCUCGCGCGAUUGGAGCGGCCGAUGUCAGAUUAGGUAGUUGGUGGGGUAAAGGCCUACCAAGCCGACGAUCUGUAGCUGGUCUGAGAGGACGACCAGCCCCACUGGGACUGAGACAAGGGCAAGACUCCUACGGGAGGCAGCAGUGGGGAAUUUUGGACAAUGGGCGCAAGCCUGAUCCAGCAAUGCCGCGUGCAGGAAGAAGGCCUUCGGGUUGGAAACUGCUUUUGGACGGAACGAAACGGCCUGGGUUAAUACCCUGGGCUAAUAACGGUACCGUAAGAAUAAGCACCGGCUAACUACGUGCCAGCCGCCGCAGUAAGAC
rnacentral:rRNA from 1 species